ACAUGAUUGUCGAUGGAGCCAGCUACAGGCUGUUAAGAAAUUUACAGAUGCUGGAAGAUCGCACUGUACAGUUUGGUAAAGAGGAUUCGUUUGACCUCAUCAGACAUAAGGCAAAGGAUACGAUGCACGCACAACACGCUAGGAAUGAAAGAACAUACAAUUUGCGCAGUCGGCAGGUGUCAUUUGUUGUAGGCCAGGAGAUAUAUCGGCGAAAUUUCCAGCAAAGCAAUUUCGCGAAGGGCUUUAGCGCUAAACUAGCACCAGCGUUUAUAAAAAGUCGGAUACGACAGAAGCUAGGAAAUUGCUACUAUGAGGUGGAAGAUCUGCAGGGUAAAUUAAUAGGGAAGUUUCACGCCAAGGAUUUAAAACAAUAACUUCUCUUUUAAUAGCCGUUCAAGCGAGGAUCCCACUUUUGGUGUGGUUCCCCCAAAGUGUGAUUUUGGUAGGGGGGAAUUUGUAGUGACGCUUGAACCAGCUACAAAAAUAUUACUACAACAACAACAAAAAUAAAAGAACGGAAAAAAAAAAAAACUAAUCAAAAAUUUUAAAUCCAGGGAAUAUCGUAAUUGCGUUUAGCGCCCCUAUUGCUCGUGAUCGACGGGUACUUUUUGGGCAGACGGUCGGACUCGGGAGAGAGUCGGCCGCGGUUAUGUUAACUCGAGGGAAAUGGUGGUUGGCACUUUCGCUGUUAGGAGGGUUCGUGAAUGCAAGUCCAGCUACGGUCGCUCUUUUCGAUUUUGGGCCCCACUUCAGAAGGUAGUGUUUGUGGUGGAAAGAGGAAAUAUUAGCGGAAAAACAUAACUAAACCUCGCGCCAGUGCUAAAUCAAAGAAAAAAAGACAAACAAAAGAAUCGUGUUGCUUUCAAAUUAUACCAUAAAGAAAUCGAAAAGAAAUUUGCCACCCCAGUAAGGGGGCGUUCCAUUCUGACCCCACGCCGGAGGCAAGGCAUCCGAAAGUGGUCUCUUUUUUUUGUUUCGGACGGCCAUUUGCAAGUUAAUAUAACAAGAGUGCCAAUCGCCACAUAGCGAAUUGGCACGUUGUGCCAAGCAGAUUUCCAAGGGAGAAUAGCGGAAAAAGAUAAUUGGGAUCGAUGACCGAGCCGGCCGCAGCCACAACCAGCUGGCCAUAGAAAGGGAAGAGAAGAGACUGCGCUCCCGAAAAAAAAAAAAGCACAAGAACCGAUCGAAUUCGCCGCUGGCGCAGAGAAGCGCAAGGCAGAGAGUCCGCCGCUCCAGCUGUGGGUCCGACUCAGUGCAUCAGCAGCAUCGUCGGCGCCGGGAAGCUGCGAAACUAAAAGCGGAAUAUUGAACAUUUUUUUUUUGGCCCCCAAGUUUUUUUGCGUAAAUAUCUUGCCCUCGGCCGACCUGGCUUAGUGAAAAAAAAGUAGAGGAAAUAAAAACCCAGAUCAAAAUUAUACCCAUGAGCCAAUAGGCAAGGUCUUACAAUUAUAGCAAGCGGAUCGUCUUCGACAAAAGCGCUUUUGGAGAUGGAUGGCACGUAAGUGAAAGAAUAUUGCUUUACUCUAAAUAAAUUGCAUGCAUGAGCGUGAGAGAAGGAGAGGUAUAGGAAAGAAAGAGGGGGAGAGGUGAAACAGUUGGGCAGAUCCACA